AUGUACCACAUCAAGCGCCGCGUCCACGACACCGGCAAGUCAACCCCAUCGUCCUCGUCCGCGCUGCAUCAGGAGACCGCUCCGCCACCUGCCGACAAGGGCCAUGGAGUGCCGCUGCUCGUCAAUAAUCAUCCGCCGCUGCUUGAAACUCCUCAACAGCAGCCGUCCGGAUUUCACACCGCGCUGUCAUCACCACAUGAGCAGGAUGUGCGGCCCACCCUCCACGCCCAACCAGAUCAGGAGGAGUACCGGCCGCGUCAACCACGCCAUGAUUUUCCACGUUUCCAUGGUGAGAUGCCCCUGCUUUGGAUAGACCAGUGCUUGACUUAUUUCGAGAUGUACCGAGUGCCUGUUCAUCACUGGGUCAGUACUGCUACUCUGUACUUGGAUGGAUUGGCUGCGAUGUGGUUUCAGGCAUAUAAGUGUUUGCAUAGACGUCUCACUUGGGAUGAAUUCACGGGUGCUGUGGUGACUGAAUUUGGGCAUGACGAGUAUGAUGUUCAGAUGACUAAGUUGCAGCAGUUACGGCAAACCAUGAGCACUCGCUGGUUUGUCUCUCAGUUUGUCUUUGGAUUACGAGAUGAGCUUCGUGGACCUGUGAGAUUGCAGGCUCCUACUAGUGUUACUCGCGCUGCAGCUUUGGCAAAAAUUCAGGAAGAAGAAGUGGAACACAUACGACCCAGAAAUCGUCCCGCAGCUCCAACAAAACAUCCACCACAACCUGUAGCAGGUGUGGUGCAUACACCAGCUCUGGGACGAACAGAAUUGCCUCGCCGUCAGGGCAAUGAUGACUUUAACAGGGAACGACAGAUCCAUGAUUUUAGGCGCGCCAAUGGUCUUUGUUUUAAAUGUGGGGAUAAGUAUUCCAAAGAGCAUCAGUGUAAAAGAUCAGGUCAGCUACUCACUAUUGAAGUUGGAGAAUUUGGUGAAGUAUUAUCAGAUGAUGCAGUGAUUGCCCUGGAUCUCUUGGAAGAAACAACAAUACCCGCUACUUGCUAUCAUCUUUCUGUGCAUGCUCUCGCGGGAACAGAAGCUUUGGAAACAGUUCGCAUUCGUGCUUUGGUGGGAAAUCAGGUGAUGCUCUUGCUUAUUGAGUCUGGCAGCACACACACGUUUGUAAAUAAGAGCUUUGCAGAGCGUGCUGGUUGCACUAUUCAGUCAGUCCCAACAGUUUCAGUUAAGGUAGCAAAUGGACAAAUUUUGUCAUCUGAUGCUCAAGUACAAGGGUUACAGUGGUGGACACAAGGAUCUACAUUUGUAACUGAUAUGAGGGUCCUGGAGCUUGGGGCCUAUGAUGCCAUAUUAGGCAUGGACUGGCUAGAGCAGUUCAGUCCUAUGAUCUGCCAUUGGCGUCAGAAAACAUUAACAUUCGAUUAUUUGGGAAAAUCUAUUACACUGCAGGGUGUCCUUUCUAAACCACAAGAGUCACUCCGGGAAAUGUCUGUGGAACAGUUAAAUAAGUGGAUUUCGGGGAAUGAGGUCUGGGCCAUGGCUAUGAUUGAUCCUAUACAUCAAACAACAGAAUCUGUACCCAACAUAGUGCAAUCAGAUAUGCAGUCUUUACUCGAGGAAUACCAUGAUGUUUUUGAUCAGCCCACUACUUUGCCACCACAUCGUGCCUUGGAUCAUUCGAUCUCGUUAGAACCAGGAGCUCAUCCAACAAACAGUCGCCCCUACCAGUACUCUCCAUUGCAAAAGGACGAGAUCGAACGUCAGGUCUCGGAAAUGCUUGACAGAGGGGUGAUUCAGACAAGCAUGAGUCCAUUCGCGUCUCCGGUGCUGUUAGUUAAAAAGAAGGACGACACUUGGCGAUUUUGUGUUGAUUAUCGUCACUUGAAUUCCAUAACUUUGAAGAACAAGUUUCCCCUACCGGUCGUUGAUGAGUUGCUGGACGAAUUGGCUGGCACUAAAUUUUUCUCCAAGUUAGAUUUACGCGCAGGAUACCAUCAAAUUCGCAUGAGGCCAGAGGAUGAAGAAAAGACAGCCUUUAAAACACAUCACGACCACUUUCAAUUCCGAGUGAUGCCAUUUGGAUUAACGAAUGCGCCAGCCACAUUUCAGUGCAUUAUGAAUCUCAUUUUUGCUAAAUACCUCCGCAAGUUUGUGAUAGUCUUCCUAGACGAUAUCUUGGUCUACAGUUCAUCUUGGGCAGAGCAUUUAGAGCAUCUGCGUCUGGUGUUCGAAACACUUCGCCAGGCUCAAUUCUUUGCUAAGUUAUCCAAGUGUUCUUUUGGGCAGAACAGUAUUCAGUAUCUUGGCCAUAUUAUCUCUGAUUCCGGUGUUGCAACCGAUCCCGAGAAAACAGUGGUGAUGGAACAGUGGCCAAUUCCUAAGACAGCAACUGAACUACGAGGAUUCCUUGGCCUAACAGGUUAUUACCAUAAAUUUGUUAAACAUUAUAGUCUGAUUGCUAAACCACUGUCUCAACUUCUGACCAAAAAGGGUUUCUACUGGAAUGAACAAGCAACACAAGCAUUUCUUGCUCUGAAACAAGCUAUGGCACAGGCACCUGUCCUGGCAUUGCCCAACUUUUCCGAGCCCUUCACCGUGGAAACUGACGCUUGUGACACUGGAGUGGGGGCAGUGUUAAUGCAGAAAGGGCAUCCAAUUGCAUACAUGAGCAAGGCUCUUGGGAUACUUAACUGUAAAAUGUCCAUCUAUGAAAAAGAAUUCCUUGCUGUGAUUAUGGCUGUGGAUAAGUGGCGUCCUUAUUUACAGCGCGGCCCAUUUCAGAUAGUCAUCGAUCAUAAGAGCCUCUGCAACCUAGAGGAUCAAAUUUUGACUACUGAUUUGCAACGCAAGGCAAUGGCCAAGCUCGUGGGUUUACAGUUUCAGAUUAAGUACAGAAAGGGCAGUUAUAACGGUGCUGCCGAUUCCUUGUCUCGAGCGGGCCAUUUAUUGGAAGCACAUGCCAUUUCCACCUUGCAACCUGAUUGGGUCCAGGAGGUUUCCAAUUCCUAUGUCACUGACACAGUGGCCACUCAGUUAUUACAAGAAUUGGCAAUUCAAUCUCCUAAUGCAAAAGGUUAUGCAUUGAAGAAAGGCCUAAUUACUUACAAAGGCAGAAUGUAUAUUGGUGCAAAUCUUGCCCUACAAACUAAGCUGAUAGCAGCUCACCAUGAUACUGCAGUGGGAGGCCAUUCAGGUAUUCAAGCCACAUACCACAGAUUGAAGCAGCUGUAUUAUUGGCCAGGUCUUAAGGUUGCCAUGGAAAAUUAUAUCCAUCAAUGUAUAGUGUGUCAACAAGCAAAACACACUAAUACAAAACCAGCUGGCCUUCUGCAACCCUUGCCACCCCCCGACAGUCCUUGGACUGAAUUGACAAUGGAUUUCAUCGAGGGUCUUCCCAAUUCAGAGGGUGCAAAUUCAAUAUUGGUGGUCGUUGACCGCUUAACAAAGUAUGCUCACUUUCUGCCCUUGCAUCAUCCUUUCACAGCAACUUCAGUGGCCAAAGUUUUCCUGGAUAAUGUGGUGAAACUACAUGGUAUUCCCAAAACCAUUAUCUCUUUUUCGAGAAAACACAAAAGAGUUGCGUUUCAUUGCAUUGAACAGGAAGACAUCGGGGGUACAACCUCCAGAAAGGAGGGACACACACACACACACACACACGACCGUCCUCACCAAGUGACUACAGCUAGGUGA
rnacentral:rRNA from 1 species